AGCAUUUCUGCAAGGCUUGUUACUGUUGAAUUCCUGGCCUCUGAGUCCUGGUGUAAUGCUAGUCAAUCUACACUGCCCUCCCUCCAAGAUCUGUGUCUGCUGCAGACUGCCCAACAACAGGUUAACUCCGGUCUCCCUGAGCUGCUGAGCAUCGAGCAAGGGAGGGCUGCGUGGACGAGACCACCCAGUUUGUCCCUGCCACUCACUCCACACUCCUUCAGCACCUCAGAUUGAACAACUUCACCCCAGAGGAGAGAGGGGUUCACUUUGAUGUUGAUUGCAAAAUACAGAAGAUGUGACGGUGUGCACUCCUCCCAUCCCUAAUCCUCACUGUACAGAUACCUUGUUGGAGCUAAGGGGCUUCAUCACUGUUUCCAGUAAUUCGAAGCCAUUAUUGUGAACUUUUUUACCUUGGCACUAAUCCUGCCCUCCAGUCUACGACCUGCAGUAACUGAGGGACUCCAGAGUUGGCCUGAUACAAAAGGCUACCUUCACCAUCAUGGGCUGUGUGAUGUGUUCGCCUCUGCUUGAAAGAUGGAGAUUCUCCUCAAAGCAGCAAAGGGCCAAUACUUGCUUGGAGUUGGCCCUGUUCCCCAGCUCCUGUCUAUCCCAGUACCAACGAGUCUCAGGUCUACACUAUGUGUCCUCUUUCUCUGAUGCAGAGGAUUGCUGUGAAGACAGUCCUAUGUCCGAAGACUCAGAUUCUGAGAUGACUUGACUGCAGGGAAUGAAAGUCAAAGGAUUCAUGAGGACUGCCGAAUAACAGAGUUGAAUUAUCAGACUGAUAAUAAAUUACCGUGUGGUUUCACAAUACAGAGAUGCUUUUUAUCCCCUUUUGUUUAACACUAGCUUUUUUUUUCUUUAAAAAGAAAAGUAGAUACAGAGAAUUAAAAAAGAAAGACCCUCUUGUGUUUGUAAUUUUCACCAAGAUAAAUGAUUUAUUUCAGGUCCAUUGGGAUAAGAUCGAAAUGUCACACCAAAACAACACAAGUGAAUGAUCUAAGGGUCCUAAAGUAAGAAUGGCCAAUUAACUCACUAAACUAGCAAUGGCCACACUGCAGGCCAAUUCUCUCCAGGUUGGGAUUGGCCACUCCCCAUCCAUUCCAGUCUCCAUCAUAUCCCUUAGAAUCAUGGAAGGGUUGGAGGACAGAAGGUCACAUGGCCCAAUACUGGCUCUCUUUGUAAGAGCUUAACUCCAACUCAUUACAUUGACUGUUCCCACAUUUUGAAUUUUACUUUCAGGUGGUUGUCCAAUUCCCCUUCAAAAGCCAAGAUUGAACCUCGAUCAUCCUUUUGGUCAGUGUGUUCUAGAUCAUAACCAUUCACUGCUUUGGAAUGCUCUAUCUCUCGCAUUUGAAAUCAGUGGUUCUCAAGUCCCCCAUUAAUAGGAACAGUUUGUCUCUAACUCUCCAACGUCUCACUUUCCAUUUGGGAACUCUUCAGCACUCAAUGUUGAUUCAAUAACAUUAGAAUUUGAUCACCUUCUUCCAUGUCCCUUACCCACCCCCAGGACCCUGACCCUGUCAUUAACAUCUGCACAGCCAACCCAUUUUCACCCACUAUGGUCCCCAUUAUCAGUUUUUCUCCUUCUCUGUCUUACUACCAUCCAUCCCAUUGUCUAAAUGUCUUUUUACCCCUCUGGGCUCCAUGUCCACCUAUUGCUCACUCCUACCUUCAAGAUUUGGAGGUGCCAGUGUUGGACUGGGGUAUACAAAGUUAAAAAAAUCACACAACA